UCUAGAGGGCUUAAUGAUUGUCUCUAUUCUCCAGCUCAUAGGCGUGGUGGGGUUGGGUAGGGUAUAAGAGGAUGCUGGACAGUUCAGAGAAUGGGAAAUGGCCAGGUAAUCUCUAGUUUAACAGCUCGGACUAUUUUAAUAUAUGUCCUUUAUAGGUGAUAUUGGCAUCCUUAAAGCAGAGUUUUCUCAUUUGUUUAGAAAAAUGUAGAGCUUUUAAUAUUGCUACUUGGAUUGGAGGAGGUAGAGUACAGUUACUAAGAAAGUGAUCAGAUUUGAUAUGCAAAAUUUGUAGGUCAGAAAUCUGCUGCAUGAGUCUCACAGAAUUUUACUCACCAGUUUUUGGAGCAAGAGAACAAAUCUUGAACCUUCUGGAAAGACAGUCUUGAAUGAAUCUUGAGGGUUUGUAUAAUGCAUGAUGAAGCCAUUAAGGGUUAAAAGGAGAGGAUCCAACUAAAGAGAUUCGGCUUUGGGCCCGAAGAACUAUCAAACACUGCUGCCAUUCUUGUACAAACCUGGUUCUUCCUAAUCACUUUUUGCUUCAGAGUCACUGAAAUUCUUCUUUACCAUCCCCUGUGCCAUCAAGGUCAUGCUCAUCUACAGAUCUACCUAUCCUCAAAUGCCUUAUGUGGGAAGUUUUUGUGAAAGUGCAUUCCUUCUCUAGAUCAAAUUGAAGAACAAAGAGAAAGAAUAGCCAUGAGAGAAAUGUGAGAGAAGCAAAGUAAAGACCUUACUGAGAACAAGACUCAAAUCUAGAGACCAAGGAAAGGUGAGCCUAAGGGACUCACAAGAACUGGAUACCUUCAAGAUAUGGAUGAGCAGUUGAGGUCAUUUUAUUUAACUCUCUGGUGGUCAACUUUAUGUGUCAACUUAACUGGGCCACAGGGUGCCCAGAUAUUGGUUAACAUUAUUCUAGAUGUUUCUGUGAGGAGGUUUCUGGAUGAGAUUAACAUUUCAGUUGGCAGACUAAGUAAAGCAGAUCGCGCUCCCCUAUGUGGGUGGACCUGAUUGACCACGGGCCCAUCUGUUGAAGGCCUGAGUAGGACAAAAACGCUGAGUAACAGCAGUUCAUUCUCCCUGCCCAUCUUCAGGCUGAGCUGUCAACCUACCUCUGCUUUUGGGCUUGGUCUCAGACCAAAGCGUAUGCCAGGGGCUCUCCUGGGUCUCCAGCUUGCCAACUCACAUCUUCAGACUCAUCAGCCUCCAUAGUCACAUUGAACCAAUUCCUUAUUUUAUCUCUAUAUAAAAUACAUGUGUGUGAUUAACAUAUAAAAUGAGGAAUAUGUAUAUAUAAUUGUGUGAUGAAAAUAAAAUCUAACCCUGUUUCUCUGGAGAACUCAGACUAAUACACGUUCCUUCUUUGUAAUCCCUGGGCCACAAACACCCUGCUCAGACACAUUUCCUGAGAGCUGGCCAUAGUAAUGGGACAGCAGCCAGAGCACCUGAAUGAGCUGGGAGCUCCUUCUCUCAGACUGAACAAAUACAGGGAGGACACAUGGGCCAAUAAGAAUACAGUAAGAUAAGACUCCGGGAGUGGUUCAAGAACCAGAAAGAAGAAACUUUAUGUUCAAAGAGGAAAAGCGGUAAAAUCUAGGGAUGAAUAAGAGCUACGAUGGGGAAAUGAUAGAGAUAAAAUUGUUCUUACACAGGAAAGAAGAUAAAAAUACUUCCUCAGUAGGAGCAGCUUUAUCAAAAACCUAGAGAUAAAGAAUGGGAGAGGAGGGAAAAGGUGCAUUAGGGUUAAUGUGAGAGAGACCACAGACAAUGUGAGCAGUAAGCCCAUUGUAGGUAGAAACUGAGCCCAAAAGAAUGUGGAAUACAUGGCCCUGAAGGAGGGCAAGGAGCACAGCAAGAGAUGAGGAGAGAAGACUGCUCAGAGGGUAACUACCAGAGUAAGGAAAAAUCCCCUGAAUGCGGGACAAACACAAUUCAAAGUAGGAACACAGAUGUAACCCAAGUGGCAAAGGAACUCAGUUGUGUUGCCCAUGAGAGAAGAAAAUACUAGUGUAGUUUCUGUGAGAGAAACAAAGUGGGGCCUGAAGAAGGAAACUGGCUGCCCCCUACGGUCUGCACCGGAGGCUCGCUGCUCGUGGAUCACACAACUCAGUCACAGUUCUAGUGGUAACAGAAAGCAAGCCCAGCAGGCUUAGAAAGGGGAAAAUAUUUUCAUUAGUCGGAUACUGAGAUAGCCGGUUCUCAAAAGGCAUUGGAAGCAGUAAAUAAUUACCAAGAAAGCUAGCCAUGCUCUCUCUCCAUCCCCGGCUUCUCUCCGAGCUUUCGCUUCCUGAUCCCAGCCCAGAAGGUGGCCGAAGACAAGCUGCCUCACCGCUUUAUGAGCAGACAUCAGCUCAUUUCCAGGCAUUCACAGAGGCUGACUCACAGAUAGAAAAUAUGACUGCACAUCUAGAUCAGGUGUUUUGGUGAAAGGGUAGAGUCAGACUACACAAAAUUGUUUCCAAAGACUCCUCCUUACAGGUGGGGAUGAUUCUCAGAGAAUUAAAAUUGUUCUGACCUAAGCAUCACCCUAGAGGUCACUUCUGCAAUGGACAAAUGGAAACAUCAAAAUGACAAGUUAGCUGUGGAUCUUCAGCUGUAAUGUGAUGCUACUUGGUGAAAUAGAAGCUGUAAUUACUAAACAAGAAAGACUGAGUCCUUUCCAAUGCCAACUCUUAUUCUUAUUGUGAUCCUAGCUGCAAGACUGGCUGUGGGUUGGGGACCUUUGCCAUGUCACCCUUAUGAGGCCAUAGUGGAGACUUUGCCUCCAGACAAACUAUGCUAAAAACAAACAAAAAUAAGAUAAAUAAAAACUGAUGCAAGAAUGA